CUUACUGCUCAGUAACACGUAGUCAACCUGCCCUCGGGCCGAGAACAAUCUCGGGAAACUGAGGCUAAUUCUCGAUAGAUCAAGAUUCCUGGAAUGGGUUUUGGUCCAAAUGAGGUAACAGCAUCUUUGUUAUUUUCGCCCGAGGAUGGGACUGCGGCCGAUCAGGCUGUUGGUGAGGUAAAGGCUCACCAAACCAGUAACCGGUACGGGCUUUGAGAGAAGGAGCCCGGAGAUGGACACUGAGACAAGGGUCCAGGUCCUACGGGGCGCAGCAGGCGCGAAACCUUCGCAAUGCGCGUAAGCGCGACGAGGUUAUUCCGAGUGAUUCCCGCUGAGGGAAUCUUUUCUCAGAUCUAAAAUGUCUGGGGAAUAAGGGGAGGGCAAGUCUGGUGUCAGCCGCCGCGGUAAUACCAGCUCCUCGAGUGGUCAGGGCGUUUAUUGGGCCUAAAGCAUCCGUAGCCGGCUCAUUAGGUCUCCUGUUAAAUCCAACGGCUCAACCGUUGGUCUGCAGGAGAUACCAGUGGGCUAGGAGGCGGGAGAGGCGGACGGUACUCCGAGGGUAGGGGUAAAAUCCUUUGAUCCCCGGAAGACCACCAGUGGCGAAGGCGGUCUGCCAGAACGCGCUCGACGGUGAGGGAUGAAAGCUGGGGGAGCGAACCGGAUUAGAUACCCGGGUAGUCCCAGCUGUAAACGAUGCGAGCUAGGUGACACAAGGCCUUCGGGGCCUUGUGGUGCCGCAGGGAAGCCGUUAAGCUCGCCGCCUGGGGAGUACGGACGCAAGUCUGAAACUUAAAGGAAUUGGCGGGGGAGCACAAGGG
rnacentral:rRNA from 1 species